GACGAACGCUGGCGGCGUGCCUAAUACAUGCAAGUCGAACGCAGUGGGGACGGGUGAGUAACACGUGGGUAACCUCCCAUCAGAGGGGAUAACACUUGGAAACAGGUGCUAAACCGAUACUGAUGGAUCGGCCCGCGGUGCAUUAGCUAGUUGGUGAGGGAACGGCCCACCAAGGCCACGAUGCAUAGGCGGCCUGAGAGGGUGAUCGGCCACACUGGGAAUAAGAGAAGGCCCAGACGCCUACGGGAGGCAGCAGUGGGGAAUGUGCGGCAAUUGACGAAAGUCUGGCCGAGCAACGCCGCGUGAGUGAAGAAGGUUUUCGGAUCGUAAGACUCUGUUGUUAGAGAAGCGGUAUCUAACCAGAAAGCCACGGCUAACUACGUGCCAGCCGCCGCGGUAAUAC
rnacentral:rRNA from 1 species